ACCUUCAGCAGAUAUUCUUGAAUAAAUCCUUCUUAAUUUGUGGUAUGCCCUUUGGUCAAUUUCCAGAGUAUUUCAAUGGCUGUUUUUUGAUACUUUUGUCAGUUUUAUCAUUGCUUUUUGAGGAAAGGAUUUGCUGAGCUCCUCACGCAGUCAUUCUAGAAGUCAUGCCCAUCCAUUUUAUAAUUUAACGCCCAGCUAAACUAUAACCCCACUCAAGAUAUAGGGAAAGAUACAUUUUUAGACAUACAAAGUCAAAACACUUUUGCCAUCCAUUAAUUUCACUGAAAGCUAUA
rnacentral:lncRNA from 10 species